CGCUAGUGGUUCCGGCAGGAUGUUCAAAACACAGACGGGAUACACUUCUGGAUAACCUUGACGUCAUACUCUAAGAGACUGCUUUCUGACCUCUGUCUUCGAAGCCGAUGGACUUCAUUUCUGUGACUGGAUCGAGUUUUUAAGACGUCGUCUUCGGAUCUUACAUUCCUCAGUGAACGUAAGAGUCCCUGGCGUGGAACAGGUCCAUCUGCGCAGGGAGAACACCUGCGGUGAUGGACAUUAAGGUACAUUUUAACGAUUCUGUUGAAAGCGGAGGAAGAACAGACGAAGUCGAAAAGUAAAGGCGCACCACGAAGGAAUUAUCCGAAUGGAACAGAAACGUCCUGGAAUGACUUUGACUGGAGUAGGUCUUCUGUGAUGAGUCCCGCGUGGUACUGAGCCACUACUACCAGCGAAGAAGUGUGUGGAGAAGACCCGUACAGCGAUGGAAUACCAAACAAGACUGUUGCCCGCCAUAAGGACCAAUAACCAGGAAUGGUUGUGUGUAGUGCCAUUUCUCUGCAUAGCAGGAGCCUUUGGUUGCCUUCCAUGGCACCCUUAAAACACAGCAGUACGUCUGCUAUAUUCUUCGCCUCGUUCUGUUGCCCUUCAUGGUAAUCCGUCCUGGGCUUACAUUUCAGCAAGAUAAUGCCCGCUCGCACACGCCGCGAGUUUCUACUGCCUGUCUUCGUCCUUGCCAAACGGUACCUUGGCCAGCAAGGUCGCCGCAUCUCUCCCCAGUUGUGAGAACGUCUGGAGCAUCAUGGGCCGAGCCCUACAACCAUCUCGAGAUUUUGACGAGCUAACGAGCCAGUUGGAUAGAAUUUGGCACAUUAUUCCUCAAGAGGACAUCCAACAACU